rnacentral:lncRNA from 1 species
CGGUGCUUGCAGGUCAGCCCCAUCACAUUCUUGGAUGUAGAAUGUGGCAAAGUGGUUCAUUUUUGUUAGGUGAACCAUGCAUGGAUGAUUGAUAAACCUAGCACAUAUGGUUAUAUUACUUUGUGAUUUUGUAGUUUAUGAAAGAACUCACAUUGAUUCAUCGUCAUUCCUUUUCUAAAACGAUCUUUUUGUUGAUUAAAUUUAUUGUGCCUUUGAUUUAUUUCUUUAACUUUGUGUCUAUUGAUUUCACAUUGUUUAUGUAAAUGAUGGACUACUAAAGACCAUUCUUUUAUUUGAAUGUGAUUUCAUUUGGAUUUUGUUAAAAAAAGAUCAGUGCUAUUAAGAAUCUUAAAAUGCUAACAUUGUUGCUCUUGGAUACUGAUUACAGAAAAAAUGGAAUUAACUAUUCUGCAAGGAUACUUUCUCUUGAAGUCUGCAAAGGUUAAUUCAAAGCUGUAUAUUUAAUUUUUCUUUUUCUCCUUAUCAAUAUCAUCAAGUGUGUUGGUGGAACCGCAUUUUCCUUUUCAUUGUCUUAACCAUUUCUAAAGUAGUUCUCAUGCAUGUUUGUUCUGGUUUACUUGAUGUGCUAGCACUCUUGCUCUAGUACAGAGUUUUUGGCAUCAUCAUAGUUUUUUUAAUU